rnacentral:rRNA from 1 species
UACGAAGGGGGCUAGCGUUGCUCGGAAUCACUGGGCGUAAAGGGUGCGUAGGCGGGUCUUUUAAGUCAGGGGUGAAAUCCUGGAGCUCAACUCCAGAACUGCCUUUGAUACUGAAGAUCUUGAGUUCGGGAGAGGUGAGUGGAACUGCGAGUGUAGAGGUGAAAUUCGUAGAUAUUCGCAAGAACACCGAUGGCGAAGGCAGCCAUCUGGACCGACACUGACGCUGAGGCGCGAAAGCGUGGGGAGCAAACAGG